AAACUGUAAUCCAGACAUUUAAUGCCAGAUUCUCUGCUCUGUGCUGUACACCCUACAAGGGAAAUUUGGACACAGACAUACAAAGAGGAGAGAAUGCUAUAUGAAGACACAGAGACAGACAGACCCAGAGAACAGAUGGCCAUGUGACCACAGAGGCUGUGAUUGGCAUUGCAUAGCUACAAGCCAGGAAACUCUGAGGAUUUCCAGAAACCUCCAGAAGUUAGUAGAGAGGUAUGGAAUAGAUUCUCCCCAUGCCUGAGCUGCCAAGAAGGAACUAAGCCUGCUGAUACCUUGAUUUUGGACAUCUGGCCUCCUGAACUGUGAGAGAAUAAAUUUCUGUUGUGUUAAGCCAUUCAGUUUGUGGUACAACAGCCCUGGGGAACUAAUACAGCACUUCUUAGUCAACCCAAGGAGAGGGCUCAUUUGCAGGAUGGAAUUCCUCCCCUUUUUAACAUUUAGCCAUCUAGUCGCAAUGGUGGGCAGGUUCUAAAUUGAUAGCCAUUUCCACUGACUUUGCUAGAGUAAAUAUUUUGCGUCCUCCCAUCCCUCUCUCAUGCCCCACCACUGUCAUUAAACAAGGCAGAAGAAUUCAAAGCACUUACCUUGAUGAAACAUUUCUUUGGGUCAUUAUAGUUUCAAGGAUUAGAAUUUUCCACUUGUUAUUCCAAGCAUUUGUUUGCCUGAGCACUUUCUAUCAUGGUCCAUAAAAUACUGUGUAAGUCUCAUCACUCCAAUAGUUUCUCUUUUAACCAAGUCCAAUUGUUCCAGGAUACAAUCAGUAUAAUCAAAAUAUUUCAAAAGUUGAAAUCAAUGAAAAACAGGUGGCUUUCUUUUUCUUGAGUCUUUUGUCCAAAAUGAUGGGUUCACACAUAUAUUUUGCCAUGAAAUAAUUUCUUCCAUUAUUUCUUUGGUAAUUAUGAAAUAAUCCUAAACUACAAGCAAUUUUAAAGAUGAGAUUCAAAAAAACUUUAAGUGAUUUUUGGCAUCCUUAAACUAUUAUGACAAUUAUCUCAAUCACUGGAAGAAAAGUAUAGGUGUGGUUUGGACACAGGUGCAAAUAACAUAGUAAUCAAAAUGCUGAUAAAGCAAUCCUCUUCCCAGUCAACCAUUUGACUAAAUAAGUAACUUUAGGUUUGACCUCAAUUAAUGAGGUAUAUUCAGGUUUCAAAGCAGGUUUAGAAGUGUAUGAACUAUGAACUAUGACUCCCAAAUAUAAUUGUUACCUAUCUGAUACCCAAGCUAGCAGAAACUAUGACUAUCAGUGCAGUUAUGCAACUAUAAAAAGCAUCAGGAGAGUUAUGCAACUAUAAAAAUCAUCAGGAGAGUUAUCAAGUAAGAUGUUAGUUGACCAUUUAAGACAGAAAAUAGAGAUAUCUUAAAAUUAGAAGUGAGUCACAUGAAUAGAAAUACCACUGGUGGAGAGGGAGAAAGCUUCUAACUUUUCUUACCAAAUAUUGCUAGUUCCUUGAAAUAAUCAUUAUUAGUAUUUUGGCUAAUCUUAUUAUUGCCACUAGGAAAAAUUCCUUAGGGUAUUUCAGCCUUUAACAUCCUUAGGAUCCUGAGAGGGGGAAACACACAGAAAGGCAGAAAAUUAGGAUUAUGUUACUUAGAUGAUUGGAGAAGAAGAUCUCUUCCCCUAUGAAAGCCAACAUAUUUUAUACAUAGUUCAUGGCUGAUUACAUAAUACAUGGUGUUCAGUGAAAAAUGAAAAUGCAGGACCCCUUGUUCAAAAAUCAGGAAACAGGUGUUGUAUAUGAACAUUUUUCCUUUCUUUCAUGGCCUUUCUUAAAUUGUCAUGAUGUUUUUCACUUGUUCUUUAAUGUCAUUCUAAGUAAAGAAUAAUUAAAAUGUUAAUUAUUAGCAUGAACUUCACUAUUCAUCUUUAUACUGUACCAUGCCAGUUUUAAAUGCUAGUUUAAAUAUAAGAGCACUUAACUCAAACACAGAAUCACUGAAAUUAUACAAUUUGUAACUUGUAGUUUCUACAUGUUUAUGUAUUUUUCUUACCAGAACAAUGGAAACACUGAACAAAGCUGACUUGGAUGUUGCUAUUUAGUUUGGUAUGCACACAUUCUACCAAUGCUCUCCACUUUUGGCUUACUAACGAGUGAGGAAUGACUGAAAGAAAAAGGAACACGAAUUGCAUUAUCUUUCACUGUUCUUCUAUGUCAUAAUUUUCACAUCAGUGGUUGACUAAUGCAGGGAAGUAAUACAAAUGAGAAAAGAUAUAGUAAGGUUCCUUGGUCAUUAGUAUUUCUUAGAAUAUAAUUGGUCUCUUUCUGAAAUUCUAGCGAAAUUCUGAUUCCAGUUGAAAGUGUGGCCUCUCAGGGCUAUCUGCAAUUGCUUACUUAGUUGUCUAUUGCUUACUCAAUUGCUUACCCCAACAACCAGCUUACUCUUUACUCAACUGAGGUCUUGCUGAACCUCCACACAUACAGCACCAGUGCACUGGAAAUCUGUGUUCAUGGGCCUUGAAGAACAUUAUCUGUGAAUGGCACAACAAGGUACGUCAGACAUGCACAUUGCACAUAUAUCCUGUACUCAAGCAUAUGCUGCAUUGUUUCGUUGCAUUUUACAUACAAAAG
rnacentral:lncRNA from 1 species